CCCCGUAACGGAAGGUUUUCUCUUCAGUUGAAAUAUUCUCAAAUAUCGCACGUUUUAUAUCGCUCAGUGUCUAAUUUCACUAAAUAUAUUGAAUUAGCACUUGAAGUUAAAGUUCCAGUUACGCAAAGGGUUAUUUUGAUUUAGAAAUAUAUAAUUCGCUAAUAUUCCUGGCGAGAAAUCUCGUCAUUCAUAAAAUACGUUCAAUCGGGCUGCGUCCGUAACGCCGGGAGCACAAAUUGAUAUUCUAUAGUGAAUGGACAUUUAGAAUUGUUUUUUUUUUUUGUGAGUUAACUGGGCUGCAGUAGAGUAAUUAGGAUUCUUGUCACUUGCUGAUUCAACUACACAAAAAUGUCGACGGAGGGAGGCCUUGCACCAAACAGCGAUGAUAUGCCGGUGGGAGGACCGAGGACGCCGCAGCAGAUUGCAGCUCAAAGGCGUUUGCAGCAAACGCAGGCGCAGGUCGACGAGGUGGUGGAUAUUAUGAAGACGAAUGUGGAAAAAGUGCUAGAGAGGGAUCAGAAGUUAUCGGAACUGGACGAUAGAGCCGAUGCUCUGCAGCAAGGAGCUUCACAAUUUGAACAGCAAGCCGGAAAGCUGAAGAGCAAGUUUUGGUUGCAAAAUCUAAAGAUGAUGAUAAUUGCUGCAGUCAUCGGCAUCAUUAUUUUGGCUCUAAUUAUCGCCAACUUUGUGUGAACAAGUUUCGGUAACCGAAGUUUAACUUAGCUGUUACAUUGUAAUAUUUUAAUAGUCUGUAGAAGUUAAUUGCAGAACCAAGAUUAUUUCAACUGCUUUCGAUACCAGCAGCUAUGAAAAAAAAAUUAGUUUAUAUGUUUGAAAUGUGGUAUAUUAUUAUUGUUGAAUGUUUUCAUAUGUUAUAUUGAACUUACCUAAAAUAUCGAUAUAUUAUUUAGACUAAACCUUAUAGUAUCUCUUUGAAAUGUUUUGAGAACACUAAUCUUAUCCUAUCACGAUAAUUGCCAUACGUAAUAGAAUAUUUUUAGAAGAUUUUUCUUUCUUAUAAUAUUUACCCUAGUAUAAUGCGGGCAAAAGUUGCUAUUUGCUUAGUCCGGGCUUAUCAAACCUAACCAUAUCUUUUUGAAUUGUGUUAAUAUAGUGUAUAAAUAUUUUUAUUAGUUUUUAUUUUGUAAAUAUUCGGACCAAUUUUUUGAAGUCCCAACGAACAGAGUAUCAAGUGUGAGAUUAUUUAUUUACUCCAGUUAACUACAAUUUGUCGAAAGAGCGCCAUCUAGUGACAGUAGAUGAAAGAAUCAUAGCGCUCUUUCGACGCCAUUCAAAUCACUUAACUUUUAUGCGAUCGAAUAGGUAAAAAUCUCACACUUAGCACUCAAACUUUGUUUAAUUUUUCUAGUAUUUUUGACAACUGUUAACUGCUCCUCGUUGUUCUAUAUUUUUUAACCUAGCCUUUGCUAAAAAGAUAUUAACCCUUACACAGAGAAAGCACUUAAUUAAUAAUUAAAUUUUAUCUUAGUUUAGCGUUUUCGUACUGUAGGCAUUCAUACGAAAUUUGUAUUCAAUGUUGUUGUUCAUUAAAUUAAAGGUAUAUUUGUAUGCUACUGCAUUUUACUAGAUCAUAUAUAUAAAUUUACGUGAAUUUAAUAUAUUUUAUGUGUGUAGCAUAGUGUUUAGCUAUAAUAGCAUAUUAUCAUAUUAUUUUAAAUAAAUAAUCGCGAGUUUUUCUCACUUAAAAUUGCCGUGUUGCAAAAACGUAAUUAGAUAAAUAACCUCCAACAAUUAUUGUAUUAAACCAUCAAUCUAUCUUUCAUAUUUAUUAUGCACUUUAAUUACUGUUUCUCGAUAGGAGACUUAGUAUAAAGAGUGUUAAAUUAGAUAAAUGUAAUGUAUUUUAAUUAGAAUAUAACAGGUGUUACUCAGGUCUUUUAGAUCGCCCAUCAAUAUUUACAUACAUUUAAAAAUAUAUGUUAACUGUCUAUUUAUCUAUUACAUAAUAUUUCUGUUAGAAUGAUUCGAUAGGUCUUAGAUACUUUAUACGUAGAUAAAGCUUCUGGUUGUUAGGUUCUAAGCACACCGUUUAUUAGGUACUUUAGUUGCAUGACAAGCGGAAGCGACGUUCUACUUGGUUUUAGUGAGUGUGCGCAAUGAUAUUUAGAAGUACUAUAAUAUCAUUGUGUGUGCGUUGCUGAAAAUGGCGGUUAACCGUUCCCGCUAUAUUUUCGGCAGCUGUCGCCUGUCACAGAGUAUCUAGACAUAUAAAUUGUAUAAGUUAAAGGUAAUAGGUACUUAAAUGUUUCAGAUAUGAGUGUCAAAUUUCAACUAUAUAAAAUGUGUGACCGUCUUACUAGCCAGUGAUUUUGUAGUAGCUACGAUCGCUGUAAUCGACAUAUAUUUUGUAGAAAGUUACAAAGUUAAUACAAUUUAUAGAUGUAACUAUAUUGAAAAAAUUCCAUAUGUGCUAAUUUAUUUAAAUGUGAAUUCGAAAAAUAUUUCAAUAUUUUUAAUGAUAAAUUUCUGCAUAUGCCGGAAACGUAUCCAGUCAUUCGCUUGCUUUACAAUUUUUAUUCUUUUAAUGAGGGAAGCUGGCUUUUCCAAAAAUCCUUAAGAUCAAUGUCAGAGAAUUUAUUAUAAAGAUACAUUACCAUAUCAAUAGAGUCUACCUAACUAUGAAUACCUACUACAAGGAAUGAAUAUCACAAGAAGAUACAUUUUAUUUACAGUCGAGACAUCACAUACUAUUUUAUUUUUUAAUCGCUUUAAUUGAAUUGAGUAUUAAUUUACAAAUCCUUUACACUAAUUUAAUGUUUUGUAUAAAUAAGAAAUGUAUCACUGUAAGGUAUAUUAAAAUACACCAGAGUCAUAAACUUGACUUAAAUAUUACCUAUGUAAGUAAGUUUUAGAGAAUUUUAAACAUAAUAUUCAUAUGAUUUUAGGUUUCUCGAAUAAGGCACUUACCUACUAUGUAAUUGGGUAUUUGACUCAAUUUUCAAUUACAAAUAAAAAUAAUGCUGUAUACUGUAAAUAAAAUAAAAUCAAAGGAGGAAAGUUAUAUAUUAUAGGCAUUUGGAGUGAGGAUCUUCCUUAUCUCGCAAAACAAAUAUUUGUAUUUAACUAUUGUGGCAAAACUCAGAAGAAAUGAUAAAAUCCUUAUAGCUUUUUUUAUUAUUUGAUGGAUUUAAUCAGUUUUCUUAUCAUUUUAUGUGUUAUUUAAAUCUAGUUUCAGAAAAAUAAAAUCUAUCUUUUGAUUUGAGUAUAAUACCCAAUAACAAUAAUUCCAUGAAAGUAUUGGAAAAGCGUAAGUUUUCAAAAAACAAUUGAUUUUCAUUUGUCAUAUGGAAACUUUGGAGUGAUGAUACAUUAUUUUCAAAUAUUUAGUUAUUGAACAUCAUAAAGCUUUUAUGGUCAUUUUGAAAGCUUUUUUCUUAAAUAUUUACAAAGAGAAGGCCCUGGGUAAUAAUUUAGUUCUUUCUUAUUUAUUGGUAAUUCAUUAUUGUCGAUCUGAGAUGAUUUUUUUUUCUUUAUGUAUUUAGGGGCUUUUAUAUGUACAUACAUAUCAGCUCCAUUAUAAUCUAAAUGCAUUAACACUAAAACAAAAGAAAAAAAAAUAAAAUAACUUAACAAACUAAAAAAAAGUUAAUAAAAGGAAAAGCAAGUUAUACAAUCUUCAACAAAUAAGACUUAUGGAUUCAAACAGAUUUAUCUGAGAUGAUAAGUUAUUCAUAUUACAACUAAAUUAAUAUAAAAAUUAAAUACAUAUUUGUCUUAUUAUUUACUUUAAUAAAUAUAUACAGUGGUAUAUUAUAUCGCUGUAUUAUGUAGUAUGCAUAGAGAUUUGAAGAUAUAAAUUAUUAAUUUAAACCUACGUACCCCUUAGAUAAAAGUGACAAGUAUAAUAUCUAAAUGUUUGUGUAUGAAAAAGUAGUGUAAGAAAAUUAUACCUAUAAUCUAUGUACUAUUGAUUAAUCGAACACAUUAUAAUAUGUUUAACGUAAAUAAAAUAUGGUACCCUACCCUGGCGUACCACUUAUAUGUUUAAAUUGUUAUGUACUAAUAGUACUGAAAUAAAUCGUAUUUACCUAUAGUAAUGUUUGAUGUACCUAAUUAAUGCUUCAAUAAAUAUAAAAUGAAUUUCA